AAACCGGAAGACCGUGGGUAGCUGCGGCGGGGCUGACCCGUCCCGAGUGCCAAAGCUGGGGUUCUGCUUGAGAUUUCCCUCGUGGUGCCAGGGUCCGGCGAGCGUCACGCCGAGGCCCAUUUUCCAGACGACCACGACGACGCCGGGGUCACCUGGCAAGACGCGCUGACUCUGCCAGAGGCCCAGCCCCAGAACUCAGAGAAUGGGGCACUGCAUGUGACCAAGGACCUGCUGUGGGAGCCAGCAACCCCUGGGCCUCUCCCCAUGCUGCCUCCCCUCAUCGAUCCCUGGGACCCUGGCCUGACUGCCCGGGACCUGCUUUUCCGCGGAGGGUACCGGUAUCGGAAGCGGCCCCGAGUCGUGCUGGAUGUUACUGAGCAGGUGAGUGGGCCCACGGGGGACAGUGCUGCGUAGCCUGGAGACUGUGCUUAGUGACCUGGCCUCCUCUUCUCCCCAGAUCAGCCGGUUCCUCUUGGAUCAUGGAGACGUAGCCUUUGCGCCCCUGGGGAAGCUGAUGCUGGAGAAUUUCAAGCUGGAGGGAGUGGGGAGCCGCACUAAGAAGAAGACAGUGGUCAGUGUGAAGAAGCUGCUCCAGGACCUCGGUGGACACCAGCCCUGGGGGUGUCCCUGGGCUUACCUCAGCAACCGACAGCGCCGCUUCUCUAUCCUCGGGGGCCCCAUCCUGGGCACGUCGGUGGCGAGCCACUUGGCAGAGCUGCUGCACGAGGAGCUGGUGCUGCGGUGGGAGCAGCUGCUUCUGGAUGAGGCCUGCACUGGGGGCGCGCUGGCCUGGGUUCCUGGAAGGACACCCCAGUUCGGGCAGCUGGUCUACCCUGCUGGAGGCGCCCAGGACAGGCUGCAUUUCCAAGAGGUCGUUCUGACCCCAGGUGACAAUCCCCAAUUCCUUGGGAAACCUGGACGCAUCCAGCUCCAGGGACCUGUCCGGCAAGUGGUGACAAGCACCGUCCAGGGAGAAAGUAAGGCCCUUACAUACACUUUCCUCCCUCAGUGGCUGACCUGCUACCUGACCCCUGACCCUUUCCAUCCCUCCUCAGCUCUGCUGGCCGUCCGCUCUGACUACCACUGUGCCGUGUGGAAGUUUGGUAAACAGUGGCAGCCAACCCUUCUGCAGGCAAUGCAGGUGGAGAAAGGGGCCACAGGGAUCAGCCUCAGCCCUCACCUGCCCGGGGAGCUGGCCAUCUGCAGCCGCUCAGGAGCCGUCUGCCUGUGGAGCCCUGAGGAUGGGUAUUGCCGCUUCCUGUGAAACCCCCCACCCUAACCAACUGAACUCCGCCCUGUUUAGCAUGUCACGACCCUUGAGCCCCUUCCCCAUCAGCCUGUCCCCCUGCCCAUGGCUUGCCUGUCUCCCCAAGGCUGCAGCAAAUCUACAAGGACCCUGAGACCCUCGUGUUCCGGGACUCCUCUUCGUGGCGUUGGGCAGACUUCACUGCGCACCCUCGGGUGCUGACCGUGGGCGACCGCACCGGAGUGAAGAUGCUCGACACUCAGGGCCCGCCGGGCUGUGGUCUGUUGCUUUUUCGUUUGGGGGCAGAGGCUUCGUGCCAGAAAGGGGAACGUGUCCUGCUUACCCAGUACCUGGGGCACUCCAGCCCCAAAUGCCUCCCCCCUACUCUUCAUCUCGUCUGUACCCAGUUCUCUCUCUACCUAGUGGACGAGCGCCUUCCCCUGGUGCCGAUGCUGAAGUGGAACCAUGGCCUCCCCUCCCCGCUCCUGCUGGCCCGACUGCUGCCUCCGCCCCGGCCCAGCUGCGUGCAGCCCCUGCUCCUCGGAGGCCAGGGUGGGCAGCUCCAGCUGCUGCACCUGGCAGGAGAAGGGGCGUCGGUGCCCCGCCUGGCAGGCCCCCCCCAGUCUCUUCCUUCCAGGAUCGACUCCCUCCCUGCAUUUCCUCUGCUGGAGCCUAAGAUCCAGUGGCGGCUGCAGGAGCGCCUGAAAGCACCGACCAUAGGUCUGGCUGCCGUCGUCCCGCCCUUGCCCUCAGCGCCCACACCAGGCCUGGUGCUCUUCCAGCUCUCGGCGGCGGGAGAUGUCUUCUACCAGCAGCUCCGCCCCCAGGUGGACUCCAGCCUCCGCAGAGAUGCUGGGCCUCCUGGCGACACCCACCCUGACUGCCAUGCCCCCACAGCUUCCUGGACCUCCCAGGACACUGCCGGCUGCAGCCAGUGGCUGAAGGCCCUGCUAAAAGUGCCCCUGGCUCCUCCUGUGUGGACAGCACCCACCUUCCCCCACCACCAGAUGCUGGGCAGCACAGAGCUGCGGAGGGAGGAAGAGGAAGGGCAGCGGCUGGGUGUGCUCCGCAAGGCCAUGGCCCGAGGGCGGCUCCUGCUGCAGAGAGACCUGGGCUCCCUCCCUGCGGCAGAGCCACCCCCUGCACCCGAGUCAGGCCUAGAGGACAAGCUCAGUGAGCGCCUGGGGGAAGCCUGGGCAGGCCGAGGGGCUGCCUGGUGGGAGAGGCAGCAGGGCAGGACCUCGGAGCCCGGGAGACAGACCAGGCGGCCCAAGCGCCGGACCCAGCUGUCCAGCAGCUUUUCGCUCAGUGGCCAUGUGGAUCCCUCAGAGGACACCAGCCCCCCUCAUAGCCCUGAGUGGCCACCUGCUGAUGCUCUGCCCCUGCCCCCCAUGACCCCGCCCUCCCAGGAGUUGACUCCGGAUGCAUGCGCCCAGGGCGUCCCAUCAGAGCAGCGGCAGAUGCUCCGUGACUACAUGGCCAAGCUACCACCCCAGAGGGACACCCCAGGCUGUGCCACCACACCUCCCCACUCCCAGGCCUCCAGCGUCCGGGCCACUCGCUCCCAGCAGCACACACCCGUCCUCUCUAGCUCUCAGCCCCUCCGGAAGAAGCCUCGAAUGGGCUUCUGAGGACACAAGGUGGGCUGCCCUCAAGCCCCAGAGAGCCCCUCAUCCUUCCUCCGGGACCAGAUGUGCCUUCCACAGUUGAAACUUGAGAAGCAGAGCUCGCCACCUUCUGGAGGCCACUGUGAUGAUGAGCCAAGCAAUUUGGAGCCAAGUUGAAGGGACAGGGCAACAAAAUACAGUAGUAGUUUCUUUUGUAUUUUGUAUAUUCGCCUGAAGAUCAUCCCGCAAGGCAGGCUGGAGGUGCCGGUGGGCCUGUGUUGCUGGGAUUUUAGUCUGUGCUGGGAGGCAGGGCUCCGCUGCGCCUCAGCUGUGGGGGCCUCAGGCAGGUCCCUCAGUUCUCACGCCUUCCUGUCCAGUGGAAUGGGGGCCAGUAGUGCUGGCUCCUCGUGUUUGGUGAGGGUGGAGUGAGGCCCCUGCAGAGCUGCUGAUGAGGUGGGCACAGCGGCCGUUGGCAGCUGCUGUUUUGGGUUGCUUUGUCAAUCUCUGCCCCGGUCUGAUGUUUUCUACAGGGAGAUGCCUUGGAUCCAGGUUCAGGGAUGAAAUAAACUUGUCAGCUGAAGAUGAAUUGGAAUGGUCACAUUUUUUAGGCUGGACAGCGUCCCACCACAGCAACUAUCUGACACUGAGCUCAUGCAGAGAGAUGAUGGCUGAUGACCCUUGGGACAUGGGUCUGGCACCUGUGGGCUGUCGAUAGUGCCCUCUGAGCAGAGGGUCACGGUCAUGUCAGUUUGGGGGAAUUCUCUGUGGUGCCUCACAGACUCCCCCCUUUCUUUCCUCCCUCCCCUUCUCAUUUUGAUGUCUAAAGCAUCAAGUCCCUCUUCCUCGGAGUUUCUCUAGCUGCAGUGGAAGAUUCUGUUUUCCUGUGGGGAAAAUGCUCACUUGAGAUGUUGCAGGGACCCGGGUCUGUCUGGUUUCUGAUGACAUAGUAAGAGAAAGGUCUUUUUUCAGGUUGGCUGGUGAAAGGAAUUGCAUGUGACUCACACAAACAGGAGCUAGCCCAAUCAUACACUGACUCGCGUGGGUGUUAAAAUGUUUAUCAUGCCUAAGGGAGACAUUUAUAAUUAAACCAUUUAUGCUACAUAU
rnacentral:sRNA from 1 species